UACGGGGGAUGCAAGCGUUAUCCGGAAUCACUGGGCGUAAAGCGUCUGUAGGUGGUUUAGUAAGUCUAUUGUUAAAUCUUGAGGCUCAACUUCAAAUCAGCAAUGGAAACUGCUAGACUCGAGUAUGGUAGAGGUAAGAGGAAUUUCCAGUGGAGCGGUGAAAUGCGUAGAUAUUGGAAAGAACACCGAUGGCGAAGGCAUCUUACUGGGCCAUUACUGACACUCAGAGACGAAAGCUAGGGUAGCAAAUGGGAUUAGAUACCCCAGUAGUCCUAGCAGUAAACGAUGGAUACUAGAUGUUGCCCGUUCACCGCAGUGUCAAAGCUAACGCGUUAAGUAUCCCGCCUGGGAAGUAUGCUCGCAAGAGUG
rnacentral:rRNA from 1 species